GUAUCUUUUUUUGCAGGCGAUGAGAGCAUUCAUUGAAUCCAACUUUAAACUGCUGGAUAUAGAUAGUGAUGGAAUAGUGGGAGUAAAAGAAUAUCGUUAUAACUGUAUAACAAGAGUAGCCAUCGAUGAUAUUUCCCCCAUAGACAAAGCGUUCGAAACGUUACUGAAUGAUGAAGAUCGAAAGCGCGGAGGCCUCUCAUUAGAACGCUAUAAGGAACUUUAUGGUACAUUUUUGGGAAACAAAGCUGAUAACCAUCCAGCAGUAAACCUUUUUGGUCCUUUAUAAUCACUUAAAAUUUAAUUGUCUUCGCUGUUGUUCAACUACUAUUUUAUUAAGUUUUAUUUGUAAUUACUAUGACUAUAAAUUUACUACCACUAAGAUAUAAAGCAUUCACAUCAUUUUGUGUAGAAUCGUCAGAUAAAGAGUUCGUUAACUUUAAAUUUGUAUAACUAGAUAGGUCAAUUUGCUCUCAGAAGUUUAAAAUAGUAUACAAAUAUAUGUUGAUUUGCUCUCAUAAAAAGGCUCUUAAGUAAUUUGCCCCACUCUCGAAACCUGCAAGAUGUAAUUAUAUUGUUGCGUUAUA